rnacentral:rRNA from 1 species
ACGGAGGGUGCAAGCGUUAUCCGGAUUUAUUGGGUUUAAAGGGUGCGUAGGCGGAAAAUUAAGUCAGUGAUGAAAUCCUGCAGCUCAACUGUAGAACUGUUAUUGAUACUGAUUUUCUUGAAUAUAGUUGAGGUAGGCGGAAUGUGUAAUGUAGCGGUGAAAUGCUUAGAUAUUACACAGAACACCGAUUGCGAAGGCAGCUUACUAAGCUAUUAUUGACGCUGAGGCACGAAAGCGUGGGGAGCGAACAGG